UACGUAGGGUGCAAGCGUUGUCCGGAAUCAUUGGGCGUAAAGCGCGCGUAGGUGGUCAUGUAAGUCCGCUGUGAAAGUCAAAGGCUCAACCUUUGAAAGCCGGUGGAUACUGCAUGACUAGAGUACGGAAGAGGCGAGUGGAAUUCCUGGUGUAGCGGUGGAAUGCGCAGAUAUCAGGAGGAACACCGGUGGCGAAGGCGGGUCUCUGGGCCGAUACUGACACUGAGAAGCGAAAGCGUGGGGAGCGAACAGG
rnacentral:rRNA from 1 species